ACCUGUACAUGCCCUUCGGGGUAACACACAAACUCUAGUGUUGUCUAUGUAUGUCUAGUUAUUCAUAACAAGUAUAACUUUCAACAACGGAUCUCUUGGCUCUCGCAUCGAUGAAGAACGCAGCGAAAUGCGAUAAGUAAUGUGAAUUGCAGAAUAGUGAAUCAUCGAAUCUUUGAACGCACCUUGCGCCCCGACGGGGCAUGCCGGUUUGAGCGCCUGUUCAUCCUGCACUAGUGGAUUCUUCUAUUAGAGCGAUGUGAGUGUUGCUGGUCUUACCAGCUCGCUCUGAAUGCAUUAGCAGCAGUUAGGCUUGUGACAACGUGAUAAGUCGUCGUUGAAGCAAUGCUGAGCCGCCGCUCCUAAUCGUCUUCGGACAAUAACCUAAUGCUAGGCAUCAAAGCGGUAGGACUACCCGCUGAACUUAAGCAUAUCAAUAAGCGGAGGAAG
rnacentral:rRNA from 1 species